GGGAAAUGUUAGGAUUCCAGGGGGGAAAUUUAACUGAGGAAAAUAUAGAUUACUAGCGCUUAGUCGACUGAAAAAAAAAUGAAGUGGAAUGUGACAUACGUUGCGCGCUCUCCACUAUUACCCCUGACAUUGAGGCACCGAUCAGCAAGAAGCAAUUCCAGCCAUCCCACUAAAUGACUAUAUCACUACUAAGAAAGAAACAUUUUAUUUACUAUUUGUGUUAUAUAUGUAUGGCUUCGUGGAGAGGGUAAAAAGAAUACCUUGAGAUGGUUUGGCCAUGUGUGAAGAAUGAAUAGCGAUGAUAUUACAAAGAGAAUCUGUGUGAGUAAUAUCAAGGGGACAGGUGUGAAUCUACGUGAGUAAUAUCAAGGGGACAGGUGUGAAUCUAUGUGAGUAAUAUCAAGGGGACAGGUGUGAAUCUAUGUUAGUAAUAUCAAGGGGACAGGUGUGAAUCUAUGUGAGUAAUAUCAAGGGGACAGGUGUGAAUCUAUGUGAGUAAUAUCGAGGGGACAGGUGUGAAUCUACGUGAGUAAUAUCAAGGGGACAGGUGUGAAUCUAUGUGAGUAAUAUCAAGGGGACAGGUGUGAAUCUAUGUGAGUAAUAUCGAGGGGACAGGUGUGAAUCUACGUGAGUAAUAUCAAGGGGACAGGUGUGAAUCUAUGUGAGUAAUAUCAAGGGGACAGGUGUGAAUCUAUGUGAGUAAUAUCAAGGGGACAGGUGUGAAUCUAUGUGAGUAAUAUCAAGGGGACAGGUGUGAAUCUACGUGAGUAAUAUCAAGGGGACAGGUGUGAAUCUAUGUGAGUAAUAUCAAGGGGACAGGUGUGAAUCUAUGUGAGUAAUAUCAAGGGAACAGGUGUGAAUCUAUGUGAGUAAUAUCAAGGGGACAGGUGUGAAUCUAUGUGAGUAAUAUCAAGGGAACAGGUGUGAAUCUAUGUGAGUAAUAUCAAGGGGACAGGUGUGAAUCUAUGUGAGUAAUAUCAAGGGGACAGGUGUGAAUCUAUGUGAGUAAUAUCAAGGGAACAAGUGUGAAUCUAUGUGAGUAAUAUCAAGGGGACAGGUGUGAAUCUAUGUGAGUAAUAUCAAGGGGACAGGUGUGAGAAGGCGGUCCCCAGUGAGUUAGGAGGACAGAGUUAAGGAAUACGUAAAAGAGAGAUGAAAGAGUGAUGCGAGGACUUAAAUGUGCGAUAAAUUUAUGUUUGGAGCGGGAAAACUGGAGACUUCUGUCCUGGCCACCCCCUUGGAGGGAGGUCCCGGCGGAAACUGGGCGUCAGAACUAUUGAUUGAUUUGUGUUAAGCAAGUAAAUUUUGUGCUCUGCCUCUAUUUGUUUAUUAUGUUAUUUGUGUUAUUAAGCAGGUAAAUUUCGUGCUUUGGCUAGUGUCUUCCUCGUCCACAUGCUUUAGAUGCUCGAUGCCGCGUCUCGUGUCAGGCUUUUCCUAUCAAUCCAGAACAGUUGAUCCUCUUUUGUCGCUGCCACCAAGUACGCGUAAUUGUUCAGAGGCGUGGGAAGUGUUCGGGAGGACGCCGUGACAUUCAACACUCGUGACAAUGAGCAACGCGUGUCGGAAUCUGUCUUGUCCUUUAGGGAUGCGAUAAGACAACGCCGGUUCUGACCAGGGCCUUGGUAAUACCCAGGAAUGUUUCGAGCCUACCCCUCCUCCUCCUCCUCCUCUUUCUCCUUCUCCUCCUCCUCCCUGAGUCCCGCGUUGCCUUGACUUUUCGUGAUUGUUUUCGUUACGGUUCCCAAACUUUUGAUGGAUUUCAGUUAAUGAAGUCUUCUGCCAGCGGGUCAGCGUGCACCUGUGUAGAUCUGCGUUAGAUGUAGUGGAGGGGCUUGUGGCAAGUCAUUUUUAUGACUAAAAUUGUUCAAAUAUGCGAGGUCAUAUUCAUUUUGUCCUUUGGAAUAUUUUCAGUAAUUUGUUUGUAAGUUGGCACAUUUGUCUUUGUUUGAUAUGGUGUGCAACCUCUGAUCAAGUGUUAAAAAUUAUAAAUGGACUGCCUGCAAGUCACGCGCGACCCUUCACGCCAAACACGCCUCAAAAAAAGAUAACAAGUGCCACACAAGGCAAACUUCGUUUAUGUGAGCGAACCAGCUUCUGGUUGCCUAGAUGGAGGCAGCUGCUGAGACAGUUCUAAAAAAUAAAUAUAAACCAGUAUUAAAUUUCAUCAUCAGUGUUGUUCGUAGUGCGUUUUUUUUAUUUUUUUUUUAGAGGACGAAUAACAAAAGACUACUUUCUAUAAAUUCUUUUUGCAACAUGAAGCGGUUGUUGUUCUGCUUGGCGCUGGGGAUCGCGUGCCUGAGGGAGGCGCGUGCGGGGCCUGAGGACUGCAAUGACGAAGAGGUGAGUGCCGAGGUGACAGAAGUACCGGUGUUUAACGACGUCCUGGUGGCGGCGCAACCCCCAGCCGACGUCCCAAGCGACCCUCUGAACAACACCGCCAGCCUUAGCGGCAGACUCGAGCAACUGAUGAGCUCCUGCGUCAGGGAAGCAAAUCGGAUGCGCGCCGCGGCCUGGGACGGGUGAUGGCGGUGGCCGUGGUGGCCGUGAGCCUCGCCGAAGCUAGGCUGUUGUGCUCCACCUUCACGGGUUUCGAGCUCUUGGAGUCUUGGGGUGACGCGAAGGGCAUGCGUCUCAGCCUGCAGCCUGCCGCUGCUACUCCCCAAUACAUGACGCCAGGCCGUGCCUCAAGCGUUCCUUCCGGCGGCGCGGUGCUCAGUGCCCGGCGCCUACACACCUCCUGCUGAUGUGCCCCGGCACGGACCGGGAAGCCUGACGUGCCGUUGCACAUCUCGGCGCGCGCUAGAAUUUUCCACACAAUCGAU